rnacentral:rRNA from 1 species
UACAGAGGUCUCGAGCGUUAGGCGGAAUCACUGGGCUUAAAGCGUGUGUAGGCGGAUCGUUAAGUGCCUUGUGAAAUCCCCGGGCUCAACCCGGGAACUGCGUCCGAUACUGGAAGGCUUGAAUCCGGGAGAGGGAUGCGGAAUUCCAGGUGUAGCGGUGAAAUGCGUAGAUAUCUGGAGGAACACCGGUGGCGAAGGCGGCAUCCUGGACCGGCAUUGACGCUGAGGCGCGAAAGCCAGGGGAGCAAACGGG